AUACGUAGGGAGCGAGCGUUGUCCGGAAUUACUGGGCGUAAAGGGUGCGUAGGCGGCGCAGCAAGUCAGAUGUGAAAUCCCCGGGCUUAACUCGGGGGGUGCAUUUGAAACUGCUGUGCUUGAGUGCAGGAGAGGAAAGCGGAAUUCCUAGUGUAGCGGUGAAAUGCGUAGAUAUUAGGAAGAACACCAGUGGCGAAGGCGGCUUUCUGGACUGUAACUGACGCUGAGGCACGAAAGCGUGGGGAGCAAACAGGAUUAGAUACCCUGGUAGUCCACGCCGUAAACGAUGGAUACUAGGUGUGGGGGAGAUACAACCUCGGUGCCGGAGCAAACGCAAUAAGUAUCCCGCCUGGGGAGUACGGCCGCAAGGCUGAA
rnacentral:rRNA from 1 species